CCCUCUGUGUAAAACGAGAGCUCCCAGGAGUGUUAGCACAUGCUGAAAAGAAAUGCUGAUGUUCUAAUCUGCUAGAGCAAGACUUCUCGUCCUUACCCUUCUGUUAAGACAUAGCUGGGUACUCGACCAUGGCAAUGGAAAUAGCCUCUUGCUUAAGAAUUCAGAGCAGCACACAUUGUGUAGAUGACUUGUUUCUUCUCUGUCCAGCCCUAAUGUAGUCAGUGUCUACAUUCCACUUACCAUUGCUGCAGGAGUCAGACAGGGUUAGGAAAUCCCCUUGGGGAUGGUGUGUGCAAAAUGAGACUUGCUGUGAGAAAACUCUGUCCAAGCCCAAGGAGGCCUCCAGCCUUACCUGGUAGGUGAGUUCCUUCACCCUCCUCUCGUACUUGCGCACACCCUUCACGGCUUCAGCGCUGCGCUUCUGCUCAGCAUCAACCUCCCCUUCCAGCUCCCGCACCUGCAAUGAGAAGCCCGUCCCUGCAGCUUCCCUGGGGGUGUCUCUCCAAGGGACGGGGUCACUCAUGCACCAACACAGCCCUACUCACCCUGGCCUCCAGCUUCUGGAUUUGCUUCUUGCCUCCCUUCAGGGCCAACUGCUCGGCCUCUUCCAGACGAAGCUGCAGGUCCUUCACUGUCUGGUCCAGGUUCUUCUUCAUCCUCUCCAGGUGGGCACUGGUGUCCUGCUCCUUCUUCAGCUCUUCUGCCAUCAUGGCCGCCUGAGCAGAGCAAGAGGUCAAAGCCCUUGUGAGGCUGGAGACAUUUUGGGGAGAAUACAUCCCCCAUCAGCAAUGAAAGGAGCCCCGACUCACAUCUGUGAUGGCCUUCUUGGCCUUCUCUUCAGCAUUGCGGGCCUCCUGGAUCGUAUCCUCCAUUUCGCUCUGAAUCUGAGAAAUGUCUGUCUCCAGCUUCUUCUUGGUGUUGAUCAAGCUGGUGUUCUGUUGAACAAUAAAUAUUUUGUCCAGUUAAUUCCAAAAGAGAACACUUAUUUUAGGAAUGUAUUGUUUCAAUGUAAUGUUAUCUUCUACAUAUCUAAUAUUAAGAUUCUCCUGAUGCAUCUUGUGAGGUCCUACACAGCUAGAUAGCAGAGUUCUUAAAAUUUGAAGAAGUCCUUCUGACUUCUGAUGCAAUCCUACUCAUUUACCUAUUUCUUCAUAAAAGUUUACUAAUUCUGGUUAAGGUGAAGUUUUUUUAUCACAACUGUUGAUUUAAGAAUUUGCACAGCUGAAUAAGGAAAAAAAGGCUCAUGGGUUUUUGAAUCUCAUGAGUCUAACCUGAGUGUGGAGGAGCUGAACUCUCUCACUGGCAUCCAUCAGUUCCUGCUCAGCCACUUUCCUCGACCGCUCCGUCUGCUCCAGGGCUGCCCGUAGCUCCUCAAUUUCAGCCUGCAGCAGGUUUGCUCUGCGCUCCACCAUGGCCACCUGCUCCUUCAGGUCAUCCUGGGUCCUGAGAGCGUCGUCCAAAUGGAUCUGGGUGUCCUGUAAGAGAGGAAAGAGAAUUUAAAAGGCAUCACAGCACUGUUGCAAUUGCCACCAGUCCAGUAAUUACUAUGGUAGUACAAUAUAUAUAAUUAAAUAUUUAUAUGAGGCAUUAUUGUCAGUAAAUGCACAGUAUUGAAGAAUGUGAGCAGGAAGUUGAUUCAUGGUAUUGUGCUCUGUUCCAGGCUGAGUGAUAGCCCUGCCUAAAUUUUAGGCUCUGCAAAGGGAAGGCAAGCCUGAAUUCAAACUCUGACUGACAAUACUUCCAAUAUAAAGGAAACUGGACCUUUGUUCCUGCUUGGGGCAGCAGAAAGAACUUUCCUUCAUCCUCUGAAGUGCUGUUAUGUAACAGAUACUAUGCUCUGGGGUUGAAAAAUGAAGAGUACGUGAGUGACAGGAUCCUACUAUUCCGUGUAGGCUUUAAUGAUACUGAGAUAAGGCAACUUAUAACCAUCAAAAGAUGGCCCUCAGAGCAAAGGAUACGAAGUACAGGUGGCAGAGUACUUUCCUCCAGUCAGAGGAAAGGGUUUAAGAAGGAGAAGAAUGACUGAAAAGGUGAAUGGGUGUUUAUCUGGCUGUGUAGCUGAUGCCAUAAUCAAGGUUUUGGCUUCUAUGAUCAUGGGUAUACCUUUGAGAAACUCUCUCUGUUGGGAGCUGAUGAGAUUCACCUGAGCAAGUAGGGCAGGAGGGUGUUCACCAGCAAUCUAGCUAGAGCUUUAAACUAGUUAGGGAGAAGAGCCAGGGCCUGUUGAUGCAUUAGGAAGCAAUAGGGAAAUGUUCCAAAGGAUUUAGGGUUCAUUCCUCUAGAAAAGUGAUAACUGAGGUGUCCUUAUACCAAUGCAUGUAGCAUGGGUAACAAAUAGGAGGAGUUUGAAGCCCCUGUACAUCUAGAAAACUCUGAUCUAAUUGCUGUCACUGGAGCCUGGUGGGACGAAUCACAUGGCUGGAGUGCUGCAUCAAUGGCUAUAAAAUGUUCAGAAGGGACAAUGAAGGUACAAGGAAGGGGCAAGGAAGAAGGGGUGAGAAGGUGGUGUCUAUGGAUUGUUUGCACAGAGCUGUCUUUCAAAAAACAGUGAUUUGUCAGGUUGAUAGCUUAUGAGUAAAAAUUAGAGGCCAAGCCAACAAAGGAAACCUUGUGGCUGGUGAUUACUAUGAGGAUCCUGACCUAGGGGAGACUUGUAACCAACUAUCAUAACUUCAAAUAUUGGAAGCAUCAUGUUUCCAUGACCCAGUCCUGCUAGGAGACUUGAAUCACUUUGACAUCUGCUGGAAAAGCAGCACAGCAAGCUGUGAGCAGUCCAGGAGAUUCCUGGAGUGUAUGAAGGAUAAUAUCUUCAUCCAGGGGAUAGGCUGCCCCACUGAAGAACUCUUACUGGGCCUGCUACUUACCGACACAAAUGAACCAAUUAGAGAUGUCACAACUGGUGACAAACUUGGCUGUAGUGAUCAACCCCUGGUGGUAUUCAUGAUUUUGAGGGGUCUGGGCCAGUUGAAGAGUAAGGUCAAGACCCUGAAUUUUAGGAGAGUGGACUUUCUGUUGUUUAAGGAAUUACUGGGUGGAACCCUGUUGAGAAACUGCCCUCAAGAAUAAAGAAGCAGAAAAGAGUUAAGAACAUUUUUCUUAGAGUGCAAGAGCUCUAAAUUGCCACUUGGAAGCAGUCAGGCAAGGAAGGCAGUAGAACAGAGUGGCUGAGCAAGGAGCUCCAGAACAAACUACAGUGUAAGAAGGAAAAGCAUAGGCAGUACAACCAGGGACAUAUAUCCUGAGAAGACUAUAGAGAUGUUGCCUGGAUGUGUGGGGACAGGCUUACAAGAGCCAAGGCACAGUUUGAUCUGAAUUCCUGUUUUUUAAAGUUGAGUUACUCCCAUUGAGUACUGUGGGCAAUUCUGGGUCUUGCAAUUAAGGAAAUAUAUUAUGAGACAUAAAUGCAUUUAGAGGAAGGCAGCAAAGCAAGAGAAAGCGCUGGAAGUCAUGUUAUCUGAGGAGUGGCUGAGGACAUGAGGGUUGUCUGGUUUGCAAAGAAGGCUGUUGAGAGGUGACCUCAUUGCUCUACAGCUUUCUGAAGUGGGGCAGAACAGAGAGAGGUGCUGAUCUCUUCUCCCUGAUAUCCAGUGACUGCAUGUUGUGGAUGUGCCACCACUGGAAGUGUUCAAGGUCAGAUUGGAUGGGCCUUUGAGCUGUCUGAUCUAGUACAAGGUGUUCUUGCCCACAGCAGAGGGGCUGGACUAGAUGAACAUUGUGGGUCUCCUUCAACCCAAACCAUUCGAUAAAUCAAUGAUUCUAUGAGAUUCCUAUAUGCACAUCCUUAGCUUAACAUACCUUGAGCACAGCCUGUGUGUUUCUCAGGUUCUUUUGUGCCUCGGCAGCCACACGGUUGGCAUGGCUGAGCUGGAUCUCCAUUUCAUUCAGGUCUCCCUCCAUCUUCUUCUUCAGCCUCAGGGCUUCAUUCCUGCUCCUGAUCUCAGCAUCCAGGGUGCUUUGCAUGGACUCCACAAUUCUGAGGUGGUUUCUCUUCAGCUGGUCAAUCUCCUCAUCUUUCUCUGCUAUCUUCCUGUCAAUCUCAGACUUCACCUGGUUGAGCUCCAGCUGCAGGCGCAGGAUCUUCCCCUCUUCAUGUUCCAGAGAGGCCUGGACAAGUGGACACAAACAUGGGGAACACUGAUAAACCUACUGCUUGCUUUCUAGGGAAUUAGAGAAUAUUCCAGGAAAUCUCAGCUGGCUGCCCUCCACAGCCAGAACAGAGCAGAAGCAAGGCCUUUUUAGCAUUGUUUCUGCCUUGCUCACACAUUUAGUGCAGACAGCAAUGAUUCUGGCCAGGUACCUCAGCUUCCUCCAGAGCAGCCUGGAUUUCAGAUUUCUCCUGCUCAACUUGCUUCUUGACUUUCUCCAGCUCAUGAAUUGCCUUUCCUCCCUCCGCAAUCUGCUCCGUGAGGUCGGAAAUCUCCUCUGUGGGAACAAAGAAAAAAGGCUUGCUCAGGCCCAGAGCAGAAUGGGAAGGGCCCUGUCCCACCAGGGUGACAGGCAUCUUUGCAGAGCUGCAGGCACAGACCCCGCAGCAAUGCUCAGCUGGUGAGAAAGCCCAUCCCAGAGCAGAGGGCCAGGGACUUACGCUGCAAGUUCUUGUUCUCCCGCUUCAUUGUUUCCAGGUGGUCCAAGGACUCCUCAUAGGCAUUCUUCAUCUUAAACAGCUCCGUGCUGAGGGAGCGGGACUCCUUCUGGGAGGCCUCCAGCUCAGCCUGCGUUUCCUCAUACUUCUGCUUCCAUUCUGCCAGGAUCUGAAGAGAAAUGGGGCGUGAGUAGGGAUGUGGCCAUCCCGGGGGGAGGCUCUGCCCAGGAGUCCCAGGGCUGGAGCCCAAAAGACCUUGUCAAAGUUCUUCUGCUUCUUGUCCAGAGCAGCGCAGGCAGCAUUGGAUCGCUCCACAUCAAUCAUCAGGUCCUCCACUUCAUUCUGCAGCCUCUGCUUUGUCUUUUCCAGGGAGGCACAUUUGGCAUUGACAGCUUCGACGUGUUCCUCUGCAUCCUGCAGGCGCUGUGCCAGCUUCUUCCUGGGAGGAGAUGAGCACAGUGGCAGCUUAGAGCUUAGAAGGGAGUCAGUUCUGCACUACCAUGAGAGGGCAGUUGGCCACUUUGGAGGGUUUGAGCUGAGCACUUUUCACAGAUCCUAAAGGAUCUGUCCUUUCUGUGUGCAUUAGGCCUGUCUUUGCACUUCUAGCCCUAAAGCCUAUGCCUUCCCUUCCAAUAUACACUUUUUUCCUCCUCCCCUCUAUCUGCUUUGCACACAAAGACAGUAUAUCCCUGCCUUCAUCCCAGCCCUGUCUCAGCCCACUCAGAGACUCCCAUUUCCCUUGACCGCUCUCAGUCUUCUGCAGUCAUUUCUCAUCCCACUCCCCACGUACUUGGCCUCCUCGAGCUCCUCCGUGCGCUGAAUCGCGUCCGUCUCGUAUUUGGUUCUCCACUGGGCCACUUCGCUGUUGGCCUUGGACAGGGCGCGCUGCAGCUCCCCCUUGGCUUCCUGCUCCUCCUCAUAUUGUUCCCGGAGCAAGUCACAGUCGUGGCGAGCGGACUGCAGGGCGUGGGCCAGGGCGUUCUUGGCCUGCAGCAACAAGAGUAUUGAGUCACGGACCAGAAAUAUCCUGGGAAAUCGGACUGAGUAUUAAUUGGACACUGUAUUAUUCUUCUGUGCAAAAUGACAAUGGGGACUGACAAAGAGAAUAUUGGAUAAAUUCUAGGGAGAAGCUAACAUGAGAAGAGAAGCACUGAAUUACCUAAAUGUUUUUUUCCCCUGUCUCAUCAUGAUAGCUCAGUAGUCAUUUAAGUAUCUGAAGCACCUUUUAGAGAGGAGGGAUCUAAUGGCAAUAUCCUGGGAAAUCUCUUCCGAUGAAUUAAUUUCACACUGCAAACAAGAAUGCUCAAAGACUGUUUGCAAUGAAGGGCAGAUGGAAGCCUGGAGGACUAAAUCCACUAAUCACACUCGCUGCAGAAAUGAAAACAUUCCCCCAGUAUGCCUUGUGCUAAGCAUAUCCUGCCCCCAAUAGGCAGUGUGAAGUUAUGAGUUUUUUCAGUUGCCAGCUAUAGGAAAUCAGAAAUUACCUUAAUUUCUUCCUCUAGGUGUCUCUUGAGUUCCUCAAUCUGUUGGGUGAAAGCCUGUUUGCCUCUUGACAGCUGAGAAAUCAGAGCAUCUUUCUCCUCCACCUGGCGUGAAUAUUCACCUGGGAAAGCACAUGAAAAGGAGGCACUCUGAUCGUUAUUUGUGACUCAAACAAGCUGUUUUAGGAGUCCCACCACACACAGGGGAGUCUCUCUCACCUGACUCUGUCUGCAGACGAGCUCUUUGAGCAUUGAGGUCAUUGAUCAUGCGCUGAUGCUCUUCUUCCUUUGUCUUAAUCUCACUCAGCUGGUCUUCCAGGGUGCGGCACAUCUUCUCCAGAUUUGCCUGUGGAGGUCACAGAGAAUGAAAGAAGAUUAGGAUCUAGACGCCUUCUUAUUCGGAAGAGCAGGACUCUAAGCAGAAAAACAUGAACAGACUUGCAAGGUCUGGACUGUUCCUUGGUGUUAGAAGUCUUCCCGGCACCAGAUUCUCCGCUGUCAGAGCAAGGAGAGAAGCAGAGAGCGUGUGGUCAGGCAGGAGGGGCCCUGGCCCUGGGCAGCCCCUCAGGGACCCGAGCAGGGGGUGUACGUACGUGAUCAGGAUGGACUGGUUCUCCCGAUCUGGGGAAGAGGCAGAAAUACAGUACUUAAAACUCAAUGAACAACAGAGAAAGAAUGAAACAUGCUUAGUCUUGACAGUGACUUUCCCUGAUUCCCUGCUCUGGAUUGUCCCUUUCACAAAGGAUUCCUUUGCGUGUACCACAAAGACAGAUGACUUGGCAUCGAAAGGCUUGUUCUGAGCCUCGAUUCUCUCCUUCUCUGACUUCCGGAGGUCUGGACUCCACUAGAGAUGAAUGCAAGGCAGAGCAGAAUCAGAAGAGAAGAGGCAGAACAAGGGUAGACUCCGGCUACAGGCAGAGCAACAAGGAUUGGGCAAGGCUCUGCGGUGCUGACAUUCCCAUGGAAGAGGAAGUAUUUUGUUGGGCUGAAAAUAAAUCCUUCUUCAGAUGGAGAGGCAGCUGCCUCACUCUCUGCCAUCCCUCAGCAAUGGCUCCCCCUCCCCCAUGUUCUGUGACUGUGAAUUCAGGAGUAAGAAUCACAUGCCAGCAAGGCAGCACAGGUCGAGUGGGAAAGUGGAGGCAUCUCAAGACUGCUGAUCUGUAUCCCAUUAGCCCCCAUGCAUGUUUUUUCUUCGUGCUAUUCAUCUCAUGAACUGGAAGGCUUCCCUUUGUGCGUGGAUGAGGAGAUAGUGGUGGAAAUAACACACAUUUUGAAUUACACUGCUAAACAUCUUCAGGCUUUGUAAAACUGUAAGUGUUUUCAUAAUAUAUCUUAUCUCAUUUGGAAGCUGAGGAUGGGGUGGACAAAUGGGUGGUCGUGACCUUUGAAAAUCAUCUAAGCUGUUCCAGGAGUAGAAAUCAUCAGCUAAUUAGUAUCUGGCUGGCAGUUGUUAAUGAGAACAGUACCCCUGAGGUUCAUAACAAGGCAUUUAUCUUUCAAAAUCUUCAUCAAUACCCUGUGAGUGAGUCACAGACUGCAUCUUUGGCAAAUUUGCAGGUAACAUUAAUCCAUGGGAGUGGCUGAAUAUGGCCAAGAUUCAAUCCAGGGGGACCGUGAUAAACCUGAGGAUGAGACCAAUAGAAACCUCUUGAAGCUCAUUAAGUAGUGCAGUUUUCCAGCUGGGGCAGAAUCCCACUGUGUGGACAGGGAAGAGUCUCAGCAGCAGCCCUGCUAGGGAGGAUGUGGGGGUUUUGUGAGAGGCAGUUUGACUCUAAACCAGCAGUGCUUUGUCAUCCUGAGGAAAGCAAAUCCCAGAGUGGGCUGCAUUAGGAACAUUGUGUCUAAGAGACUGAAAGAAGUUACCCUCCUGUACUUGGGGCUGCUGCAGUCACACCUGGAAUACAGUACUGCAUUUUGGGCUCUGCAGUUCAAGUUGGAUGUGGAGAAACUGGAGCGGGUCCAAUGAAGCGCUACCAAAGUGGCGCGUGACCUAGAGCACGUUACCUGGGCUACAAGCUCCCAACAAGUAGAGGACAACGACCUACCCUUACAUGUUCCACCAUUUCCUAUCUACACUUCCCUCAAGCCCUCUGUUCCUUUGGUCAGAAUGUGUCUGCCCAUAAAGAGUGGAAAGCAGCAUGGAGUUAAAGGUGAGUCUGUAACUCCAUGGUCUCUUCUUUGCUAGAGUGACUGGAUUCAUUCACAACUUCCUGUUGGUAGGUAGAAGUUUUAGGUAUUUCCAAGAAAGCAGCUCCAUCACAAGUAAUGGUGACUUGGGAAGACAAAUACCAUAAUUCCAAAUGUCCCCCAAUCUUCUUCCCUCAGACUUAAUUGUUGAACAUUAUAUUACAUACAUUAUAUGGUAUGAAAUACUCCUUUGGUCAGCUGGGGUUAUCUGUCCCAGCUGUGUCCUCUCCCAGCUUCUUGUACCCCCUCCAGCCAAUCUACUGGUGGGGCAAUGCGAGAAGCAGCAAAGCUUGGCACUGUGUAAGCACAGUUCAGCAAUAAUGCAAUCAUGCCUGCUGUCACCAACACUGUUUUAAUCACAAAUCCAAAACACAGCCCCAUGCAAACUCUAUUAAGAAAUUUAACUCUAUGUAGUGGUUUGGACUUUGUUUUCCCCCAGAGGCUAAGAAAAGUGGUAGACCCCAAGGGGUGGAAACCCCUGGAAGUUUUGAAAUUCUGUCCAAUGGGCGCUCCUGCAAAAAUGUAAACAUAUCACAGGCUCACCAGAAGAGAUGAGUUGUAGUUUGUUUGUUGAGGAGAGGUGGCCAUGUUGUAGAGCCACAAGGAAGGGGCUCUGAGCCCCUUGGGCCCUCUGGGGCCUCCCAGCACCUGGCUGGGGGGGACUGCAAAGAGCUGGAACAGUGCUAGGCUGGACUAAGUGUCUGUAGUUAAGCCGGGGGAUGUUUUUCUCCAUGGGCACAGAGCAGCAGCCGGCAAGCACCAGAGAAACGGCGGCAGAGAGCCAGGACAGAUAAGACCUGAACUGAAGGAGCAGCAGAAGCAACAUGCAGCACCAGAGAAAGGACUCCUGGAAGGAGAGCUGGGAAAAAAGAGAGCCAGCAGCUGAGAGACAGAGUUCUGGGGUAAGACUGUACCAGCCCCCCAAAACUCCUUUGAGAUCCCUCUGAGAAAAGAGGGAGAUGGACUCCUAUUAAGGAGAAGAGUUUUAGACAUGCAGCACUGGAGAGAGAGAGGAGCUAAGAAGCUCAGAGCGUCCUGGAGCUGGACCGGGACGGCCAGAUGGAAUGCAGGGGGGGGGGGCCUUGGCUCCCCCCUCACACUGCUGCCAAGGUGGCAGCCUGAGAGACAGGGCACAGAGGCCCUGCAAGAAGGAGCUUGAGUCUCCUGGAGAUACCAGACCGUCACGAAGACCCCCCUGUGUCUUCGUGAUAUGACGUGGUGAUACGACCUUGUCUGGGGUUACGAAGCCCAUGGAAGACCCCUUUGCCUGCGUCAAGGGGGCCAAGGGAGCUUGGGUACCUCCCUCAUGAGUGCUGGCAGAAAGCCAGCUAUCAGCUGCUGCAUGCAUGAGAAGAAGAAACCUGCUGCCUCAGAAGAUGCUGCUGCUUAAGGACUGGAAGGGAUCUGUCCUUCUUUCCCUCCUGGACUUUUAUUUGGAGGAGAGAAGAGAUCUGGUCCAUUGUAAAUACUAUAUGUCAUGGUAGAGAUAGUUGUAAUCGUGUGUAUAAUGUGAUAUGGUAUUUAUUUGUACAGUCAUUGUAAUAUAUUCCCUUUUUCCCCA